rnacentral:rRNA from 1 species
UGAGUAACGCGUGGGAACGUGCCCUUCUCUACGGAAUAGUCCCGGGAAACUGGGUUUAAUACCGUAUACGCCCUUCGGGGGAAAGAAUCUCGGAGAAGGAUCGGCCCGCGUUGGAUUAGGUAGUUGGUGGGGUAAAAGCCUACCAAGCCGACGAUCCAUAGCUGGUUUGAGAGGAUGAUCAGCCACACUGGGACUGAGACACGGCCCAGACUCCUACGGGAGGCAGCAGUGGGGAAUCUUAGACAAUGGGGGAAACCCUGAUCUAGCCAUGCCGCGUGAGUGACGAAGGCCCUAGGGUCGUAAAGCUCUUUCGCCAGGGAUGAUAAUGACAGUACCUGGUAAAGAAACCCCGGCUAACUCCGUGCCAGCAGCCGCGGUAAUACGGAGGGGGUUAGCGUUGUUCGGAAUUACUGGGCGUAAAGCGCGCGUAGGCGGACUAUUAAGUCAGGGGUGAAAUCCCGGGGCUCAACCCCGGAACUGCCCUUGAUACUGGUAGUCUUGAGUUCGAGAGAGGUGAGUGGAAUUCCGAGUGUAGAGGUGAAAUU